GAAACCAGCGGCAUUUCCUGUGUUCUGACAGUUAUCUCUUCCCCAAGUUUCUCAUGGAUGAUUCUGAAGAACUUUGACAUAGCGUUAGCUUAACCAAGGUCCAAGCUACACACAAAUGGCCUCGCCAGCCAAACAAGACCGUCGAACCUCCAGAAAAAAGGUGGCUGUUGUUGGCGCUGGUGUUAGUGGGCUUGCUGCAGCCUACAAAUUGAAAUCACAUGGUUUCGAUGUUACGGUGCUUGAAGCAGACGAAAGAGUUGGAGGAAAGUUAAGAAGCGUCUCAUACAAGGGACUUAUCUGGGAUGAAGGAGCGAAUACAAUGACUGAGAGUGAACCAGAGGUCCAGUGCUUACUUGAUGAUCUUGGACUUAGAGAGAAACAACAAUUUCCAAUUUCUCAAAAUAAACGAUAUAUAGUGAGGAAUGGGGUGCCAGUACUGGUGCCUACAAAUCCCAUUGCAUUGAUCAAGAGCAACUUUCUCUCUGCAAAAUCAAAGUUUCAGAUCAUUUUGGAGCCAUUUUUGUGGAAGAAGUAUGAUUCAUCAAAAGUGUCAGAUGAUGGUACUGAUGAAAGUGUGGGUGGAUUCUUUCAGCGCCAUUUUGGACAAGAGGUUGUUGACUAUCUAAUUGACCCUAUUGUUGCUGGUACAAGUGCUGGAGAUCCUGACUCUCUUUCUAUGAGUCAUUCAUUUCCGGAGCUGUGGAAUAUAGAGAAAAGGUUUGGUUCUAUUUUUGCUGGAUUAGUCCUCUCAAAAUUGUCUACCAAAAAGGAGAGUGGUGGAGUGAGAAAUGGUACUACAGGAAAAAGUAAACCUCGCCGUGGUUCCUUUUCCUUUCAGAAUGGAAUGCAGACACUCACUGAUACACUAAGCAAAGAGCUUGGUGAAGGCGUGCUUAAGUUAAGAUCUGAAGUUUUGUCACUAUCUUACAAUGCUGGGAAGUACGCAUCACAAAAUUGGUCACUCAUUUAUUCCAAGGACAAGAAUUCAAAGGAUUUAAUUGCUGAUGCUGUUAUCAUGACGGCUCCUGUUUGCAGUGUCAGAGAAAUGAAGUUUAUGAAAGGAGGAAUUCCAUUUUCACUAAAUUUUCUUCCCGAGGUGGCUUACAUGCCGUUAUCGGUCAUGAUAACUACCUUCAGAAAAGAGAGUGUUAAGCGACCACUGGAAGGAUUUGGAGUUCUUGUACCUUCCUCAGAACAACAAAAUGGUUUAAGAACCCUUGGCACACUCUUUUCCUCCAUGAUGUUUCCAAAUCGUGCAUCAAAUGAUGAGUAUCUGUAUACUACUUUUAUUGGAGGGAGUCGAAACAGGGAGCUUGCAAAGUCAUCAACAGACGAAUUGAAGCAAAUUGUUACAACAGAUCUGAGACAGCUGUUGGGAGUUGAAGGAGAGCCCACUUUUAUCAACCAUUUCUAUUGGAGCAAAGCAUUUCCCUUAUAUGGGCGUAACUAUGAUUCAGUUGUGAAGGCAAUUGAAACAAUGGAAAAAAAUCUUCCUGGCUUCUUUUAUGCAGGUAACCACAGGGAUGGUUUGUCUGUUGGCAAAUCUAUAGCCUCCGGAUGCAAAGCUGCGGAUCUUGUAAUUUCUUAUCUGGAAUCUUCUACUGACCAAUCAUGCGCUGAAUAACAACAUUAAUCGGAAAAAUUAAAGCGCAACCUUGUUCCACAUAUCCUUUUCCCGUUAUGCUGCGUGCAGGGACUCCUCUCAAACUGUCUGAAGGAUCGGCAACAAUUAUCUGCUAAGGAAAAUGCCUAAAGCUUAUGGCCUCUCCAAACUCAUGGGCCUGAUUUGGAGGUAAAAGGGGACAUAUUAUUUGGACGUAUGCCUUCCUAGUUUGAAAGCAUUUCGUAGGAUUGAUUUAAAACAAGUGAAAAUAUGGGAAAGGGCUCAACAAUAUUGCACUUCACCUGGUAUAGCUCAAAGUGGAAGGAGAGGAACAAAAUGAAAUAAAACAAAACUAUUAGUAAUGUUUUCCAUCGAUGAAUAAAAAAAAUAAAAGAAUUGACGUACAAUUUUACAUGGUUCACUAAUGGUAUAUGUAUGUGUUUAAUUAACAUGAUAAUAAAACUAGCAAAUCUUUUACUCUUUAUUUGAUAACUUUAGAGAUUAGAGAAUGAAAGAAGAAACAAGAGGGAGGUAGGAAAAAAAGGAGGAAAAAUGGAAAAGUGUUCAAUGGUAGAUGGAAACAAGCUAAGAAAGAUAGAGAAAUAGAAAAGGAAAAAGCAAUGAGGUGUACAUAAAUACUUCCCAUCCAUAUUGAUAUCGUAAUCCUAAUAGCAUUUUUUUCAA